ACAGACAUGGUGCAGUGGUUAGCAUGGCUGCCUUGCAACAUGAUGGUCCUGGGCUUGAACCCCAGGCCUGGG